rnacentral:rRNA from 1 species
CCUACGGGGGGCAGCAGUGGGGGAUAUUGCACAAUGGGGGGAACCCUGAUGCAGCGACGCCGCGUGGGUGAAGAAGCGCCUCGGCGCGUAAAGCCCUGUCAGCAGGGAAGAAAAUGACGGUACCUGCAGAAGAAGCCCCGGCUAACUACGUGCCAGCAGCCGCGGUAAUACGUAGGGGGCAAGCGUUAUCCGGAUUUACUGGGUGUAAAGGGGGCGCAGACGGCGAUGCAAGCCAGGAGUGAAAGCCCGGGGCCCAACCCCGGGACUGCUCUUGGAACUGCGUGGCUGGGGUGCAGGAGGGGCAGGCGGAAUUCGUGGUGUAGCGGUGAAAUGCGUAGAUAUCAGGAGGAACACCGGUGGCGAAGGCGGCCUGCUGGACUGCAACUGACGUUGAGGCCCGAAAGCGUGGGGAGCAAACAGGAUUAGAUACCCUUGUAGUC